AGAGAAAGAUACAGGACUUCCAUCAAGUUAUCAGGGAUCAUCAAGGUAGAACAGAUGAACUCUGGAGCUCCAUCAGGUUCUCCAUCAUCAUUUUGAGUCUCUCAUAGUUCUUCUUUGUCUCGUCUAGUUUCCACUGAGCCUUCAGCAGGUUCUCUUUGGCUGUUACUAACUCCUUCGGUUUGUCCGACUGCUUUUCUCUCUCCCUUAUUUCAUCCUCCACAGACUGAAGCUCCUUCUUGUUCUCCACCUUCUCAGUCUUCACCUUCUCAAGUAGACUUGCGAGUUGAUCUUUGGUUUCCUCCAGUCCGGUCCAAUGCUGCUUUAUUUUGGAAACCAACUGAGCCAGUUUGACCUCAUUUUCCUUCUUCUGCUGCUGGAGAGUGGAGACCAUCUGAGACAGUUUGAACUCAUUUUCCUUCUGCUGCUGGAGAGUGGAGACCAUCUGAGACAGUUUGACCUCAUUUUCCUUCUUCUGCUGCUGGAGAGUGGAGACCAUCUGAGACAGUUUGACCUCAUUUUCCUUUUGCUGCUGGAGAGUGGAGACCAUCUGAGCCAGUUUGUCCUCAUCUCCCUUCUUCUGCUGCAUUAGUGUGGAGACCAUCUGAGCCAUAUGGGCCUCAUCUCCCAUCCUCUGCUGGAGGUGCCUCAAGAAGUGUUUUCACCUCUUACAAGACGGGAGAUUAAACGACAGAAACAGUUAUUAAAUAUCAAACAAUAUUCCAGUGAUUCAAAUGUCAAUCAACAGAACGCAUGUAAGUUAGUGCAUGUAGCCCCCAUCAAACCCCCUGAUGUUUAGUAAAGUAAACUCCAACAUAAAGUACAUUGUGUUGUCGGUCAUCAGAUAAUCAAGAAGUUUGUGUGUCGAUGUUUAUAAUGUUGUGGUGCCAAAGAUGAUCGUCUACAUCCGAGGUUGAGUACCAGUAUUUGGGUUUUUCCACCGACCUGUUUACAUUACAUUACAUUACAUGUCAUUUAGCUGACGCUUUUAUCCAAAGCGACGUACAAUAAGUGCAUUCAACCGUAGGGUACAAACUCAGGAGAACAAGAAACAAGAAAGGGCAAUUUCCUCAAAUAAGCCAAUUUACAAUUUGCUAUAGAUGAGUGACGUUACAAGUACAAUUUAAGUGCUACAGUUUGUUAGUCUUUAGUCGAGGUAGAGUCUGAAGAGGUGUUCUUUAGCAUUUAGCUUUUAAGCAUGUUUGUCUUCUAACUACAUUUCCUGCUCCGAGGAUGAAAACCUUUGAGUAGCCUUUGCGCACAACGAUAGUCGACACUGUUUGAAAACAUUAAAUCUUGAGUUUUUGUAACAUUACCAAUGAAGGAGAGUGACUCAUUACGUUUAAAGUCAUUUCAAUGAUCUAUUUAGUGAAAUAUAACAUCACUGUAAUCAUGAAUGAGCUGUGACCUACCUUUACAUUUACACCACGCAGCCCGGAAACCAACGAGCUGCAGGACAACUGACACACAAGCCAUGCCCAGGAGGACCUUCUCCAUGGAGCUGGCUUUUUCCGAAAGACCGCUACCUGAGGACGGGACAGAGACCACUGAGCGGAGCAGCAUCAAGUCCUCCACAGGAGCUGUGAGGCUUCAUCACUGCAGACCUCUGGUGUGUGUGUUGGUUUCCUCGAAAGGAAAAGGACUCACCGCUCAUCAGAGGACAGGACGGUGCUUCUGAGGAGGACUGAUGAAGCUCUGUGACCCUGUUCAAUGGGAGACAAACAGACGUCUUUCCUCUGUUGUAGAACAGGACACUUUUACUGUGUUUAGUAUCCACUUGAGAGGAUUCUAAUCCACAAUAAACAGGAUUAACGUCUCACUUCAAACUGACGCUGUGAAUGCGUUUUUUGAGAUCUUACUUGUCGUGUG
ensembl:lncRNA